rnacentral:rRNA from 1 species
GACAGAGGUGCCGAGCGUUAGGCGGAAUCACUGGGCUUAAAGCGUGUGUAGGCGGACGGGUAAGUACCUUGUGAAAUCCCACGGCUCAACCGUGGAACUGCUGGGUAUACUGCCUGUCUUGAGCCAUCUAGGGGCGAGCGGAACAAAUGGUGGAGCGGUGAAAUGCGUAGAUAUCAUUUGGAACGCCAAUGGUGAAAACAGCUCGCUGGGGAUGUACUGACGCUGAGACACGAAAGCCAGGGGAGCAAACGGG